GAAUUCCGCUAUAUAAACAUGAUUUUUAAACAAUGAAGUUGAGAUAACGCAGACGGUUGGUUUCAGCGGAAGCAUAUACCAUCGAUGAACAACCUUGGAGCUCAUGUGGGUGCAUCACUGAGUGGGGAGAAUCGAUUGGAAACCCUAUAAGGAAUGGGAGAGUGGUGUCGCUUUGCUGAGCAAGUAUGCUGCCAAGACAUCACCCAAACGCCCUGCUGUGGGGGCUCUUCAGCCGGAACCAAAUUUCCGACAAGACAGCCACAUCUAUGGCGAGUGCUACAGGAAGUGUGGGGUGAAAUGUCACCUGAGUAUCUGGACAAACUGACAGCUAGAAUAACAAGGAUCUGCAAAGCUGUCAUUGCUGCAUGUGGAGGAUUUUUUGAUGAGAACUCUUUGAAGUAGUUUGUUACAUUUUUUUCAAACUGUAAUAGUAAAUUUUCACGUUAUUAAUGUCUUUUGAAGGAAUAGUUCACCCAAAACUAUAAACCAAGUUAAUAAAUGUCUUAAAUGUAGGAAGGAUGUUUUUCUUAAUAAAUCUUCAUUUUGAAAAACUGUAUCGUCAUCUUCUGUAAUGUACCAAUACAAAAUGUUUGCUCACCAUCGUCUCUAAUGAACGUUUUGUAGAUCACAAACUCUUCACAAAGACUCUGUUUCAUUAAUCAUGAAUAUGAAUUACUGCAUGACAUUGGCAAUGAUUUUUAGUUUAUAGUUUUGUAUUCUGCUUGUUUGUUGUUUUGGCAUGACUCAUUAAAGUUGAGCUUGAUAAAAAUAAAAAGAUGAGAAAAGGAGGAAUACAGUUUACAGCGUACAUUUAAGAUAUAAUAUAAAUAUUUUAGCCUGAUGUAUCGUAUACUGAACGAUUUUGACCACGAUUUUUCUUGCUCCAUAUUUCAGGAUUUGUAAAAUAUUUAUUUUGCUGUCGGACGAAAUCAGCAGUCUUUUAUUUCUUAGUGCAUCACGCUCACCGACAGCGAUUAAUUGGCUUGUGUUCAAUCUAAAGAUUAAUUUGAUCGAAUUAUUAAAUUUACUACAGUUUGCUCUGAAGAAUAAGUCCACAAAUUCCCUUUUUCACUGCGACAGUCUCCACACACUUGGAUGAUUUUUUCCCCCAGUUAACGCUGUCAAUCGUGACUGAAGUCUCGAGGAAUAUGUGUGUUAAACAGUCUAAAACAAAAGACUAUUGAUAGAGUUUGACUUUGAUUUUACACGUGAUCUCACAGGGAUCUUAUCAAACAAUCUAACAUGCAACAACUGUAAAACACAGAAAAUAAUCUCUGAAACGCUUCAGAUGAAAUCAAACUGAUCUGAAUCUGUUGUAAAUUCAGAGUUUUCUGCAGGAAGAGAGACAGAAAGAUUUAAUGCACAUACUGUAGUAUCUUACCUGAACAUUGUGCUGCAUCUUGAUGCCUGUUGAAUAAAAACUCAAUUAAACACAGAUUUUCUUUGUCAGUUAGUUUUGAUUAUGAAAAUAAACAUUUUCACAUA